AGAACGAACGCUGGCGGCAUGCCUAACACAUGCAAGUCGAACGAGACCUUCGGGUCUAGUGGCGCACGGGUGCGUAACGCGUGGGAAUCUGCCCCUUGGUUCGGAAUAACAGUGGGAAACUACUGCUAAUACCGGAUGAUGACGCCAAAGGAGACUUUAGCGUCCAAAGAUUUAUCGCCGAGGGAUGAGCCCGCGUAGGAUUAGCUAGUUGGUGAGGUAAUGGCUCACCAAGGCGACGAUCCUUAGCUGGUCUGAGAGGAUGAUCAGCCACACUGGGACUGAGACACGGCCCAGACUCCUACGGAGGCAGCAGUGGGGAAUAUUGGACAAUGGGCGCAAGCCUGAUCCAGCAAUGCCGCGUGAGUGAUGAAGGCCUUAGGGUUGUAAAGCUCUUUUACCAGGGAUGAUAAUGACAGUACCUGGAGAUAAGCUCGGCUAACUCCGCGCCAGCAGCCGCGGU
rnacentral:rRNA from 1 species